GCGGCUGUGGGAAAAUGAUAAAGGUGUUAUUUUCCAGCUCUGGAUCCCCCUUUUUUUGUGUUUUCUGCUGCUUCUAUUUAUAUUCAGUGCCUGGGGUUAGGUUUUCAGAGUCCUAGCAGCAUUAGAAGUCUCUUCUCUCUGUUAAAAUGUGGAGCUGGAGCUAAAUCAGGAAACUGGCUGUUGGCUGAUACACGGCCUGGGGCCGUGUAAUUCACUGGAGCUUCGAAGACUGCAUCUCAUAUUGGCACAAGAGAUUACAUGAGGUAUUGCUAGUUAUACAGGUCCAAGUACACGACCUGUGUUCUUUUGCUCUUCAGAGAAUUUUUCAAUCCGGGCCAGCCAGAGACUUACACGGGUCUCCAUGGUUUACACGGGUUGUAGUACACGGCUCGUAUAUUUCGUUUCUUCCUUGGCUCUUUAGUUUUCUCCUGGCAGUAUGUUACACGAGUCCGCGGCUUUGCUUACACGACCCGUGUAAAGUGUAUCAGCAACACUUUUCUUUCCUUUGGUCUUUCUAAGCUUUCUUUUGCACUCCUAUGCCUUGGAAUUUCAUCCAAACAACUGAAAUAAUGCAGAAAACAUGGAAUUUAGAGCUUAACAAUGGAAUUUAUAAAAGUUGAUGAAAUUAAUGAUUAUGCACGAGAUUACUUAUCUAAAUGCUGUGAAAUAAUAUACAAACGUGCUUAAAAACAUCUAUAUAAUACAAUUGUAUCAGAUAGCGAAGCCUCCUCUGCGCCCCCAUAGUUAGGGUAAUUCAUCUCGGAAAAAAGAAUCGAGAAACUGAAAACCCAUUUCAGUUGCUGCUCUCUUUUCUAAGCUUUGUUUGUGCGUCUAUUUCUUUAUCUGUUCUAAUUUUUGUUGAUUCUUUUCUCAUUUUAUCUUGACUGGGUCUUUUUUUCUUUUUAUUUUUCAUCUCUUUGCUCCAGCUGUUGCUGCAAGUACGAGCUGUUUUCAGAGGAAUUGAACCAAGCAAAUGGGAACCAGUAUUUGAAAGCUUUGAGCAAGUGGAUCCCUCAACAACUAGAUUGCUUGGAAGCACUGGUCUACUCUGUAUUGUUCAAACCUUGAUGGGUAGAGAAAUAAAAAGUUGUAAAGAAGAAUGGACUAGGAGCUCUAAUGUGGCUUUACUUUCUUCUUAGUACAACUGUUUAUGGUGCAGAACAGCAUUGCCGAGUAGAUUUUGUGAGGCUUAAUGUUGUGGUAAGAUUAACCUCUUUGGUAAUAAAGUCUUUCUUGACUAUACAUCAAGUCAGAUGGUAGAGAUGUCAAUAACUGUACAUUUCACAAAAGGAAUUGAGAAGAACAUCCAACCAUAUCGUAAAAUUUGACUGAGUUUGUUUCAAGAUAACCUUGAUUUUAGUUUGAAUUUGUGCACCGCCAAUCCUUGGGAAAAAAUGAUGCAGCCUUAGUGAACACAUGCCUGGGACAUGCACAACACAUAAUCAAACCCUUUCCCUUUUUGAUGUAAAUAUAAAAUAUAUACAUAGUCAAAUUGUGAAUGGUUGUUGUCAAUUCCACUUAUAAAAGUAAAUAUCAAAUGCUAAUGCAUUGACAUUUUGCACUUGUGAAUGCAGAUUCUGCUAGCACCAUACGGCUCUAUGGGUAGAGUUAUUAUGUCCCAAUGGUUGCAUAAAAUUGGAGUGCCUUAUUUUGGAGUAUCUGAGUGGAAUGAGUUGAAGUUCUUAAAGAACUCUUUUUACUCAAGAAGACACAAUAGUGCCUUUGAGGCUCUAUGUUCUCUGAAUGAAACAUAAAUUAAGAGAGUGUUGCAGUUAUGUGGGAUCUGAUAAAUUGAUGGUGGGUUUGAGAAUAGGGCAAUAGUGUGAAUGUUGUCAGUCACAGUGGUGGUGUGGUUUAAGAGGAGGGGGCUGAAAAAAAAAAAAAAAAAAAACCCAUCGAGACAAGAACCCAUAAAGCAAUGACAAACAGAAGCAUCUCAAAGGGAAACAGAUUGGCCCAGCAGCAAAAAUUGAGUGCAUUAAGAUUUUUUUUUUUUCCAGAAGUUACAAAGGUUUGCCUCCUAAAAUCUAAAUGCUGUUCUUUUCUCUUCUUGCUCGCUCAGGUGCUUGGUUGUUCACAACUGUAUUCUGCAUGCUUUUCUGAAGCGUGGCAUCAAUCCUGGUUCCUGGGGGAUUGAGAAGUUAGGAGUGUUGUUGAGCAAUAUUAUGGAAAGAAAUUUGAGCACUUCCAUUAGUUGCCGAAGUGGGGAUUUAAAAGUUACUUGGGAUGGCAUGAGCAGGUUUCUUCUAAAGAUUCCAUUAAUUUUGGAUCCGUUGCCUUAAAGCUUUGGAAUUAUUAAUCAAUGCACUGUGUGUUUUUCCUUCUCCUUUGUAGAUUGUUUAUCUUGCUUGGGUGCUCCAAAAGGUAAACUUAAAAUAUUUUAUAUAUAUUAGUGGUGUGUGUUCAGUUUUGUUUCUCUGUUCUUGGUUAGCUAUCCUUAAUCUUUUUAAAAUUUCAUGCAAUCUAAUUAAUCUAGAUAGAUUUCACUAGAUGUCUUCAAGAUUCCAUGCAAUCUAAGAAAGACUGACGGGCUAGUGAUGACAUUGUGGAUCUUUCAUUGGGUAUAGGUACUAAGUAUGAUUGGACAUACCAAGGAUUAAUUAUGAUAUUUGACUCUACAUUUAUAUCUAUGCUAAUAAAUCAAAUCAAUAUCAUCCAUCUAUUAUAAUUUAUGGCGUAAAGUUAAUGGAUAAAUAAAACACAUUUCCUAUAUAAAGAUUUUAUUGAGUUUCUUAUGCAAGAUAUAUAUCGUGUAUCUUCUUUCUUUUGUCAAAAUUUUAUAGUAAAAUGUCAUAGCCCAACAACAAAAUUGAGAUAAAUUAAUCAAAAUAGGAAAAUUAGCCAACACCCAUAUCCAUAGAUUGCAAUCAACAACAAACCAACAGCUGAAAUCACCAAAAGAAAGAAAACUAAGCCCAACGAUGCAAACACUCAAAUGUUGCGAACUAGAUAUUGGCUACAAAUUGAUCCAGCAGCAUGUUUUUACCUCUAUUCAAUUAUUUUUGAAUUCUUGAGUCCAUUUUUGACGGAUUAAUGAAUGAUUAUGGGUGUCUUGCUGUUUGUAGCUCUGUUGCAAAUCUCAAGCGUUUUGGCAAAGUGGUUCUACUAACUGCUUUUCAUUCUUUUAAGUGGUCUUUAGGCGCUCUGAAUCAGUGUAACUCGUUCUUUAAAUGUACACUACUUAAACCCAUUAUUUUACAAUUGCGGUUUUGGCAUUAUUAUUCAUAGUUUAAUAAGUGAGUUGAAUUAGUGUUAAUCAAUUGUAGAAAUCAAUUAUGGAGUUACUUUAAGUUCCUGCAUACUUUAGGGCUAUGUGUUUGUUUAAUAUUAAGUGGAAGUUAUAUGCUUCUCUUUAUGUGGGAGGACAAGCUUAGGAAGAAAAUUAGUUCAUCUUAUUUUAUUUUUGUUGUCUGAGAAGUCAUAAAAGGCCGAAAAUGCUCCGCCAAUAACUCCUUUGAUUUAUUUCUUGAAAACCCCACAUGGGGAUUGUUUAAAUGCUACUGAGAAAUUAUUUUAAGGUCUUUUAUUUUAAUAAUAUAUACAAUAUAUUAUUAUUUUAUUUUUGCAGUGUGAUAAGUCAAAAAAAUGCUGGAAAUGCUCCACCAAUGCUGGAAAUGCUCCACCAACUCAUUUGAUUGAUUUCCUGAAAACUUCAUAAAUUGAGUUGUCCAGAUAUCCUUCCUUUGGAAGAAGACGUAAAUUUCAUCUAUGAACAGCUUCACUAUCAACUGCGAAGAAGUGUUCGGGCUGGAAAUAUUAUUUCCUAAAGAAAUGAAUUUGGAGAUCCAUUCGUAACAAGAGGGCCUAGGCAUGGCUAAAAGUUUUUAUCUUUGAUUAAUCUGGACAUGCUUUGUGAGAGAAGUCAGAAAGCUUUGUCAUACUUCAGCAUAUUACGUGUUUUCUAUGUGAUUGUAUGCUCGAGUUAUUUAUUUUAUUGUCAUAAUUUGAGUGUUAUUCAUUUUGUGCUGAGGAUUGAAAAGCCUCAGGAUAGUAUUCAUUCUUUACUGCAUCAGGUUCAUGAAA